rfam:Picea glauca, whole genome shotgun sequence.
AUCUAAUGUAAUGCCUACAAUGUUAAUGCACCAUAUCCCUUUACAAAUAUGUAGCUAAGUGUGCUUGGGCUCGAGUAGUACUUGGAUGGGUGGCCUCACGAGAAUUCCUAGUGCUUUACUUU